AUUGAACGCUGGCGGCAGGCUUAACACAUGCAAGUCGAGCGGGGUGAUGGUGCUUGCACUAUCACUUAGCGGCGGACGGGUGAGUAAUGCUUAGGAAUCUGCCUAUUAGUGGGGGACAACAUCUCGAAAGGGAUGCUAAUACCGCAUACGUCCUACGGGAGAAAGCAGGGGAUCACUUGUGACCUUGCGCUAAUAGAUGAGCCUAAGUCGGAUUAGCUCGUUGGCGGGGUAAAGGCCUACCAAGGCGACGAUCUGUAGCGGGUCUGAGAGGAUGCUCGGCCACACUGGGACUGAGACACGGCCCAGACUCCUACGGGAGGCAGCAGUGGGGAAUAUUGGACAAUGGGGGGAACCCUGAUCCAGCCAUGCCGCGUGUGUGAAGAAGGCCUUAUGGUUGUAAAGCACUUUAAGCGAGGAGGAGGCUCUUUUGGUUAAUACCCAAGAUGAGUGGACGUUACUCGCAGAAUAAGCACCGGCUAACUCUGUGCCAGCAGCCGCCGUAA
rnacentral:rRNA from 1 species